rnacentral:lncRNA from 1 species
GAUCAUCCAGCAGUUAUUUCCAUGCUUGAAGAGAGUCUAAAAGCAACAUCGGAUAUGAACUUUGAAAAUCCCUAUGAAAAGCAUGCUGAAAUCUUGGAGGAAAUCCUCAAAGAAGAAAAUUUUUACUUAACAGAAUAUAUCUAAGGCAUAAAUCUGAAAUCAAUGCUAAGAUUUUAGAAA